UGGGGCCAGCAGGAGCCUCCUACGCACUGGACUGCCCAGUGGCGGCGUCCGCUUGUUAAACCUCCCCGGGUAUCUUCCGGGCGGGACUCCCUGGCCAGGCAUCUUCGGAUCUCGCACAGUGUGAUGGGGGAGGCUGGCUGAGCCUGCCCUGCCAUCUGCCCAGACAUCCUUUCCUCCAGGUCACCCUCCCCAUGGCACCUGGCCCCCUGGCACCUUAGUGAAUCCUGCCCCUUUGUCCUUGAGCCCCUGGGGCAGGAGGUGAGCAUCUGAGUCAUCACUGUACGCCAGCACCCACAACCCCACCUGUGGCAGGCUCUCGGGGAAAGUGCGUGGAGCGAAUGAAUGAGCAGAGGAUCGCACCGUCUGUCUCAGGUCUGAGGCUUCAGCCAAGUCCCAGCCAGCCAAGUUCUCCACGGGGGCCCCAGCUCUUCCCUCCUCUGUCACAACACACCAGCCCACAGGCAACCAGCAGCUGGAGAAUGGUGUCAACAGGUCACCGGGACGCCUGGCCGUGGCCACACUCUGCCCAAUCUGGCCUUUUGGCAGACAAGGCAAAGGCUGCUGGCAGCCAAUAUCCAUUUCCCCGCCGACUAACAGAAAUCCUACUGUAUUCGGAGCGGCAGUGCACCCAGCAGCUAGUUCAAAGACACCUUUCCUGAUGGUGUGAGCCAUAUGAUUACGUUCUAGACAACAAGAUGUUACAGGGAUAUGUGUGGAACUUGCAGGAAGCUGCUGGAAGAGACUGAUUUAGCCGAAAGGUACACUAUCCACACUGCCCUUGUUCCUCCUUCUGUUGCUGGUUUGGAGAGUUGAUGGGAUGGCUGGAGCCCCAGCAGCCAUCCUGAACCAUGAGGUGAGCUGAGGAUAGAAGCCACCACUGAAGACAGCUGAGCAGAAAGCUGGGAGUCCAGGUCACUGAGGGCACAGUGGAGCCCACCCCAGGAAGGUCUACCUCGGGACGUUUUCACAAGCUGGGAGUCCAGGUCACUGAGGGCACAGUGGAGCCCACCCCAGGAAGGUCUACCUCGGGACGUUUUCACAAGCUGGGAGUCCAGGUCACUGAGGGCACAGUGGAGCCCACCCCAGGAAGGUCUACCUCGGGGCGUUUUUACAUAAAAGAAAGAAAAAGUGCCAAAUGCAAUUUGAGCCUCUGUUACUUGGUUUUUCUAUUAUCUGCAGUCAAACCUAAGGUAACUGACCCAGGUGAUCUUCCCUGACGUCCCCGCUUCGGUGCUUUUCCUCUGACUGUCACCGUCCUUCUCAGGCUCCUUGGUGAAAUCUUCUUUCUCUACCCAUCCCUUAAAAAUUGCUGUUCCCAUGGAGGGGAACGUCACACACUGGGGCCUGUUGGAGGGUGGAGGGCAAGGGGAGGGAGAGCAUUAGGACAAAUACCUAAUGCACGAGGGGCUUAAAACCUAGAUGACAGGGCCAGGCACAGGGGCUCACGCCUGUAAUCCCAGCACUGUGGGAGGCCGAGGCGGGCGGAUCAUCUGAGGUCAGGAGAUCAAGACCAUACUGGCCAAUAUGGUGAAGCCAUACUGGCUACAAAAAAAUUAGCCAGGCGUGGUGGUUGGCGCCUGUUGUCCCAGCUACUUAGGAGGCUGAGGCAGAAGAAUGGUGUGGACCCAGGAGGCGGGGCUUGCAGUGAGCUGAGAUCGCGACACUGCACUCCAGACUGGGCGACAGAUCAAGACUCCGUCUCAAAAAAACAAAAACAAAAACAAGAACAAAAAAAGAUUCAUGCACUUCAGCAAAUGUUGGGCUCCAGUGAGUGACAUGCUGGAGUGAAGUGUACAACUCUCUGCAACUUACUCCGAAAUACAUAAAAAAUAAGAUGGGCUGAACGCGGUGGCUCACACCUGUAAUCCCAGCACUUUGGGAGGCCGAGGCAGGUGGAUCACGAGGUUAGGAGUUCAAGAACAGCCUGGCCAACAUGGUGAAACCCCCUCUCUA
rnacentral:lncRNA from 10 species